GGGAGGGAGGGAGGAAGGGCAUGAGCAGGCCGCCAGUAUGCACAGGCAGGCAGCACUGUGGCCACAUUAGGAAAAGGGGCCAAAGCAGGCGUUGCCAGUUGCCAUUGGUGCAAAGGCGCUGGAAUCAAGGAUGGAGCUUAUGCCGCUCCUGUGAAUCCUUGGGACACAGCACUCUGUGGGGAUGGGACCCACCCGGGACACAGCACUCUGUGGGGACGGGACCCACCCGGGACACAGCACUCUGUGGGGACGGGACCCACCCGGGACACAGCACUCUGUGGGGACAGGACCCACCCUGGGGAGAGGCUGCAGUGGAGGGACAGGAGACGUGAGGGGCAGGAGGGCCCGGGAAAAGCAGGUGUGCCCACUGUUAACUCACUGCUCCUCUGCGCCCACCUCCCACCCUUUCUUCCACAUGUCAGCCAGGCUCACAAAGCACUAUGCCUCUUCCUAGUUGCAUCCACCAGGAAGCCUACAACAGUGGUGAACUCAGUCACACAAGGGUCCCUGGAGCGCAUACUGUGGCCUUGAAAUACCGUUUCCCAUGAAGAGAAACUGGGGCUUCUUGGAGAGAUGCUGCGUUUCAGGUUGGAGCAGAAAAGCACCAGGUAGGGGAAGAGCCUGGAGCACCUGCCCAGGCUGCUCUUCAAGACCAAGAGGGCUGGGGCCAGCGCUGCGGCAGAGUGGGCUAAGCCUCCACCUGAAGCACCGGCAUCCCAUAUGGGUGCGGUUGGAGUCCCGGCUGCUCUCUGCUGUGGUCUGGAAAAACAAUGGAAAAUGGCCUGAGUACUUGGGCCCCUGCGUGGGGGGACCUGGAAGAAGCUCCUGGAUACUGGCUUCAGAUCUGCUCAGCUCUGCCGUUGAGGCCAUUUGAACCUGAUCCCUGACCCCACAUUGCAUCUGGUUGCUGUUUCUCCUCACUCUCCAAUCUAAUGCUGUAACAGGCAUUUGGCACAGUGGUUGAGACACCAGCAUCCCGGAUCAUGGUACCUGGUUUGAGUUCCAGCUCCACUUCAGAUUCCAGCUUUCUGCAGUCUGUGCCGUGGGGAGCAGAAAGAGGCAACUCAAGUACCGGAAGUCCCUGAUACCCGCAUGGGAAACCCACCAUGGAAAAAGCCAGUUCCUGGCUCUGCUCUGCACAUGUAGGGAGUGAACCUGAGAUGGAGGGUCGACUGAUGGAUCUCUCCCUUUCUCUCUGUCUCUGCCUUUCACAUAAAAUGAAAAUGAAUUUUAAAAGUUUAAACUGAUUUUUUAAAGUUCUGACAUUCUAAAUAGGAUGCAGAAGAAUGGAAACUCAUUUAUUGCUUGUGACACUGUACAGUGGUGCAGUGACUUUGAAAACCAGUUUGAUGGUUUCAUGUACAUUUCAACACAAGCCUCUCCUAAGGCCUAACAAUCACACUCUCCGGUAUUUACCCAGAAAAACAGAAACAUGCAUCUAUACAAUAAAACCAAACACCAAUGUCCUAGGCCCUUUAUCAGUGACAGCCAAAAACUGGGUUGUUGUGGGGCCAGCACUGUGAAAUAGCAGGUAAAGCUGCCUCCUGCAGUCCCGGCAUCCCAUAUGGGUGCUUGUUCGAGUCCUGGCUGCUCCAGUUCUGAUCCAGCUCUCUGCUAUGGCCUGGGAAAGCAGCAGAAGAUGGCCCAAGUCCUUGGGCCCCUGCACCUGCAUGGGAGACCCAGAAGAAGCUCCUGGCUCCUGGCUUUGGAUCAGCCCAGCUCCAGCUAUUGCAGCCAUCUGGGGAGUGAACCAGAGGAUGGAAGACCUUUCUCUCUCUCUCUCUCUCUCUCUCUCCCUCCCUCCCUCUCUGUAACUCAUCCUUUCAAAUAAAUUAAUUUUUAAACAAUUGGAUUGUUGGUAACAAUCCAAAUGUCCAUCCAAAGAUUACAUCAGCAAACUUGGUUAUUCAUUCAACAGACUACUACACAGCGAUAGAAAGGAAGGAAAUACUGAUAGAGUCAACAAUGAGGAUGAGUUUCAAAACCAUUCAGUUUAGUCAAAGGAACUACAAUAAAAAAAAAAAAACUACACUGCAUGAGAUCAGUUAUAUGAAAGUUUAGGAAAGGGAAAUCAGGGCUGGCACUGUGGCAUAGCAGGUUAAGCCUCUGCCUAUGGAACCAGCAUCCCAUAUGGGCAUAGGUUCGAGUACUGGCUGAGCCACUUCUGAUCCAGCUCUCUGCUAAUGCACCUGGGAAAGCAGUGGAAGAUGGGCCAGAUCCUUGGGCCCCUGCACGAAUAUGGGAGACCCAGAAGAAGCUCCGGGCUCCUGGCUUCCUUGGGAUCAAAAGGCCCAGUCCUGGCUGUUGCUGUCAUCUGGGGAGUGAACCAGCAGAUGGAAGACCUCUUUCUAUGUAUCUCUGCCUUUCAAAACAAUUUAAGAAAAGAAACGAGAAAUCUAAUUUACAGCGACAGAAAGAUGAGUCAUUGCCUGGGUCUAGGACUAGGGAAAAGGAACUGAGUACAGAGGGGCACAGGGCAAGUUUUUCAGGUGCUGGAAACAUUGUUUUGGCAUGACUGUUGGUUACGUGACUUUAUAAACUCAUCAAACUGCACACUUAAAAUUGGUGGAUUUUGGGGCCAGCGCUGUGACAUAGUAGGCUAAGCCUUGACCUGCGGUGCCAGCAUCCCAUAUGAGUACCGGUUCCUGUCCCGGCUGCUUGUCUUCCCAUCAGCUCUCUGCUUUGGCCUGGGAAAGCAGCAGAAGAUGGCUCAAAUACUUGGGCCCCUGCACCCACAUGGAGACCCAGAAGAAACUCCUGGCUCCUGGCUUUGGC